rnacentral:sRNA from 1 species
UGAAAACGUUUUAAAAUAAAGACGUUCUUGAAUUUCGUUUUUUUGAAAAAGAAUUGCCAAAAUUAAUUUUGGAAGGAGAUUAUUCUUCUUCAAGUUAACGAAAAAAAAUAUUAAAGGAGGAAGAACAAGA